UACGGAGGAUGCGAGCGUUAUCCGGAUUUAUUGGGUUUAAAGGGUGCGCAGGCGGAUUUUUAAGUCAGCGGUCAAAUCGUGGGGCUCAACCCCAUCCAGCCGUUGAAACUGGGGAUCUAGAGUGUGCGAGAGGUAUGCGGAAUGCGUGGUGUAGCGGUGAAAUGCUUAGAUAUCACGAAGAACUCCGAUUGCGAAGGCAGCUCACUGGACUGCAACUGACACUGAGGCUCGAAAGUGUGGGUAUCAAACAGG
rnacentral:rRNA from 1 species